rnacentral:rRNA from 1 species
GACACGGACCAGACUCCUACGGGAGGCAGCAGUGAGGAAUAUUGGACAAUGGAGGCAACUCUGAUCCAGCCAUGCCGCGUGCAGGAAGACUGCCCUAUGGGUUGUAAACUGCUUUUAUACAGGAAGAAAUAUACCUACGUGUAGGUAUUUGACGGUACUGUACGAAUAAGGAUCGGCUAACUCCGUGCCAGCAGCCGCGGUAAUACGGAGGAUCCAAGCGUUAUCCGGAAUCAUUGGGUUUAAAGGGUCCGUAGGCGGUCUUUUAAGUCAGAGGUGAAAUCCUACAGCUCAACUGUAGAAUUGCCUUUGAUACUGAAAGACUUGAGUUAUUGUGAAGUAGUUAGAAUGUGUGGUGUAGCGGUGAAAUGCAUAGAGAUCACACAGAAUACCGAUUGCGAAGGCAGAUUACUAACAAUAUACUGACGCUGAGGGACGAAAGCGUGGGUAGCGAACAGGAUUAGAUACCCUGGUAGUCCACGCCGUAAACGAUGACAACUAGCUGUUAGGAGACUAUGUCUUUUAGUGGCGCAGCUAACGUUUUAAGUUGUCCGCCUGGGGAGUACGGCCGCAAGGCUAAAACUCAAAUGAAUUGACGGGGACCCGCACAAGCAGUGGAUCAUGUGGUUUAAUUCGAUGCAACGCGAAAAACCUUACCUACUCUUGACAUACUUGGAAGCUCUUGUAAUGAGAGUGUGCUUUUAAGAACCAAGAUACAGGUGCUGCAUGGCUGUCGUCAGCUCGUGUCGUGAGAUGUUCCGUUAAGUCGGAUAACGAGCGCAACCCUUACCCUUAUUUGCCAGCGAUUCGGUCGGGAACUAUAAGGGGACUGCCGGUGAUAAACCGGAGGAAGGUGAGGACGACGUCAAGUCAUCAUGGCCCUUACGAGUAGGGCUACACACGUGAUACAAUGGGAGAGACAGACGGACGCUAAGCCGCGAGGUGGUGCUAAUCCUAGAAACUCUCUCGUAGUCCGGAUUGGAGUCUGCAACUCGACUCCAUGAAGUUGGAAUUGCUAGUAAUCGCGGAUCAGCAUGCCGCGGUGAAUACGUUCUCGGGUCUUGUACACACCGCCCGUCACACCAUGGAAGUGGAUUGCACCAGAAGUAGAUAGUCUAACCUUAGGGAGGGCGUUUACCACGGUGUGCUUCAUGACUGGGGUGAAGUCGUAACAAGGUAGCCGUAGGGGAACCUGUGGCUG